rnacentral:rRNA from 1 species
UACGUAGGGUCCAAGCGUUAUCCGGAGUUACUGGGCGUAAAGCGUGCGUAGGUGGCGCGUUAAGUGAGGUGUGAAAUCUUGCGGCUCAACCGUGUAGAUUGCAUCUCAUACUGGCGUGCUUGAGGAUGGCAGAGGCAAGUGGAAUUGGCAGUGUAGCAGUGAAAUGCGUAGAUAUUGCCAGGAACACCAAUGGCGAAGGCAGCUUGCUGGGCCACACCUGACACUAAGGCACGAAAGCGUGGGGAGCGAACAGG